AUGUAGCGCAACGGAUAGCGCUUUGGACUUCUAAUCUAAAGGUCGUGGCUUCGAAUUCCGCCUGGAAUG